rnacentral:tmRNA from 1 species
CUUGAAAAUUUGUUUUAAAAUCUUUAUAUUCAGAUUGUCGGCAAAAGCCGACUGUGACACCAGAGGCCUUAUGAAAUAGGUGUGUCGGACCCGAGGGCAGUACUCGGCACCUCCACCAUUUUACGGGGGUGAAACAGGUUUGACGGUACUCGGUAAAGAUAUGUGCUGUGUCCGGUGAGAUACCACCGUUAUCGGUUCAAAAUAAAUGAAUGCAAAUGAUAAUUUUGCACCUGUUGCUGUAGCUGCUUAGUGAAAGCGACAAACUUAAAUCCUUUAAGCUAUGGUUAGCUUGAAGUGGGGGAGAAGCCACCCAGCAACAGAACGGCU